ACCUGGCUGGCUCAGUUGGUAGUGCAUGAGACUCUCGAUCUUAGAGUUGUGAGUUUAAACCCCAUGCUGGGUG
rfam:Felis catus isolate Cinnamon breed Abyssinian chromosome B1, whole genome shotgun sequence.